rnacentral:rRNA from 1 species
AGGGAAUCUUCCGCAAUGGGCGAAAGCCUGACGGAGCAACGCCGCGUGAGCGAAGAAGGUCUUCGGAUUGUAAAGCUCAGUCACCCGGGAAGAGCGGACAGAAGAGGGAAUGCUUCUGUCGAGACGGUACCGGGAGAGGAAGCCCCGGCUAACUACGUGCCAGCAGCCGCGGUAAUACGUAGGGGGCAAGCGUUGUCCGGAAUCACUGGGCGUAAAGGGUGCGUAGGCGGUUUUGCAAGUCUGAAGUGAAAGUUCAGGGCUUAACCCUGAGAGUGCUUUGGAAACUGUAGAACUUGAGUGCUGGAGAGGCAAGGGGAAUUCCACGUGUAGCGGUGAAAUGCGUAGAGAUGUGGAGGAAUACCAGUGGCGAAGGCGCCUUGCUGGACAGUUACUGACGCUGAGGCACGAAAGCGUGGGGAGCAAAC